rnacentral:lncRNA from 12 species
AUGAUCUAUGUCCAGAACAGUUUCAUCAGUCCGUAGUGGAACUCUGCACCCAUUAAACAUUGACCUCCCCUGCCCUCCUAGCCCCAGCCCUCGGUUAACCUCUGUUCUACUUCCUGUCUCCACAAAUUUACCUGAUUUAGGGACUUGCUCUAAGUGGAAUCGAAAUAUUUGUACUUUGGUGCCUGGCUCAUUUCAUUUAGGAUACUGUUUUCAAGGUCCACCCAAUUUGCUGCCUGUGUAAGUAGUUCCUUCCUUUUGGAGCUGAAUACCAUCGCAUUGUAUGUUUAUAGCAAUAUUUUAUUUAUUUUGUUUGGUGUAAAUGUUGCUGCUGUGGGAAUAAUACUUUUUGUACCCAGUUCAUGCCCAAAACCUUAGAAUCGCGACAUCAUUGGAGAUCAUGGUAGAGAUGAAGAAACAACGGCCCAGAAAGACCAACCCUCACUCAUGGCAGCCUCAACAAAGGAGGUGCAAAUACCACAAAACCGAAAACUUGAGUUCCUUCCUUGGCAGAGUCAUGGUAAAAUGAGUACACCACUUCCUACAGUCUUUGUUCAUUUGUGGCAGGGACAUCUCAUCCAGGCCAGGUGCCAGAACCUUCUCUGGAAGAAUGCAGCAGCCCCUUUCCUAUGGGAGAAGAUGAAUCGUGUCCUGGUAAGUACUGCCAUUAAAAACAAUAGCAAUAUCCAGCCCCUUCCUUCCUUCCCAUGGGAAUCCCAGUCUCCUGUGCCUAUGGGAUCUGGUAAAUUCUACAGUGUGGGGCUGCGGCCACCUGUUGGUCUGGCUUCUGCUGGCUGUGAGCGGGCAGGGAAACCAGUCACGUUCUGGGAGAGGAGAAGGAAGAGGGUGGAGCCUGUGGAGUGCUCAUUUCCAAACCAACAACCAGCAAGCAAGCAGCUGGCAUCCUCUGGAACUCACCUCAUUACCAAAAGCGCUACCUUCUUCUGAGCCAAACUGUGAGGACUGUCCAUUCCUCUAAUCAAUGUGAUUUGUACCUACUAUGUCCAUUUGAAUUUCAAAACACUCCCUUCCUUCCAAUUACUAUAGAGUUCCUCUGUCCCCUGAGAGUGAGCUGAGGGUGAGCGCAUGUGGCCUCGGCUUCUCCCACCACGCAGGACUUUCCGUUUGUGUCUGGUGCUUCCUGACAGCUCCCCGGUUUCCCGUGUCCUGGGCUGACCCAUAGGACGUGUAGCUGCCUGGCUUCUGAUGAGGUCAGACUGCCCUCCUGGGUCUGGCUCCAUCCCAAGGUUUCUCCCACAUAACGCUGUCCGUCUCUUUCAGAACAAGCCUCCAGAACAAGCCAGCAAUGUGCCUGCCAUUCCUUGACAUGGACAAAGUUGAGAGAAGGCCACAACCACCUUGGAUUAGAGAGGAGAGGAGGUCCCCUCUCAUCUGCCCAUCUUGAAAGGAAUGUGGUUAUGCCCCUCCCACACGCAGGAGAAGGGACUAGAAUCUUGGUACCUUUGAGCUAGAAGAGACCUCCGACUUUCACAGAAUGAGGAGACCAAAGCCCACGGCUCAGGUCAAAGGCCUCAACUUGGCCUCUUGACUCUUCAUCUAUACUCUUUCCACUGCAUUAGACUGUCUCCAGCUUUUCAUUGAUACUCAGUUCAUCUCUUCAUUCUAAACUCUUCUGGCUCACAGGGUACCCCAAAACUGUAAGAGGGAGCGAAGUGUCCAAGUGGUGCUCCAAAAUGGGAGGGGCCAGGAAAGAGGCAAGAUGGAUUUCUUCCUGACCAGGGUGGACAAUCAACAGCUUGUCUUGCAGAGCCACCAUCCCCGAGCCUGGCCUCAGCCCACACAGCACCUCACACCCAACACCCUGACCCGCAGAGAUGGGAGCCUGUUCUACUGUCCCAGAGGGAGGUGGGCUUCAUAGCUGGGUGAAAAAAUGACCUCAGUGGAAAGAAUUCUUCGGUGAUAUCUCAUGUCUUUGGGUUUCUACAAAGUUUUUAGUUCCUUAUUCCUUGUCUGACAUGUGACGAUGACCUUUCAUUUACCUGGCCAUGUGUUUUCUAGAGUCCUGAUGGCCCAACAGAUAGCACCUUUGACCUGCUGACCCCUCUGAUUUGCUGUAUGUCUCUGGCCCACUCCGGAAACUCAUACUGCCGGCUUCUGGGCCCUUCUCCAGGCUGGCUCCUCACCUGUGCCUCCAUCUAUCACAGCAACGCCUGCCCUGCCAAGUUCCUGACACCUAGUUGAUCUCUAUGCGGGUUUGAACCAGCCUGACCUCAGACACACAAGAACAAGCCUGCUGCUAUUUUGGCUACAAUCAUGUCACUUUACAGUACUGUGGAGACACUUUACGCAAAGCCUGACAUGUGCACUGCAGACUUUCCAAACAAGGUCGCUAGGGAGCGUUUGAGGUCUGUUGGGUUUUUUUGUUUUGUUUUGUUUUACCAAAAAGACUGGAAAAUAUUAAAAAGUUAGAUUUGGAAGCGACAUUAAAAAUGCUUCAGUUCAGCACUUCCCAAAGUGAGUUCUAAGGGAAAAUAAAGGGGGACAUAUAUUUGCA